GAUGAAGAACGUAGCGAAAUGCGAUAAGUAAUGUGAAUUGCAGAAUUCAGUGAAUCAUCGAAUCUUUGAACGCACAUUGCGCCCCUUGGUAUUACGAGGGGCAUGCCUGUUCGAGCGUCAUUAUAACCCCUCAAGCUCAGCUUGGUGUUGGGGCCUGCUGCACUGGCAGCCCUUAAAAUCAGUGGCGGCGCCAUCUGGCUCUAAGCGUAGUAAUUCUUCUCGCUAUGGAGUCCUGGUGGAUGCUUGCCAUCAACCCCCAAUUUUUCUAUGGUUGACCUCGGAUCAGGUAGGGAUACCCGCUGAACUUAAGCAUAUCAAUAAGCGGAGGA
rnacentral:misc_RNA from 1 species